GAUGAACGCUGGCGGCGUGCCUAAUACAUGCAAGUCGAGCGAACAGACGAGGAGCUUGCUCCUCUGACGUUAGCGGCGGACGGGUGAGUAACACGUGGAUAACCUACCUAUAAGACUGGGAUAACUUCGGGAAACCGGAGCUAAUACCGGAUAAUAUAUUGAACCGCAUGGUUCAAUAGUGAAAGACGGUUUUGCUGUCACUUAUAGAUGGAUCCGCGCCGCAUUAGCUAGUUGGUAAGGUAACGGCUUACCAAGGCAACGAUGCGUAGCCGACCUGAGAGGGUGAUCGGCCACACUGGAACUGAGACACGGUCCAGACUCCUACGGGAGGCAGCAGUAGGGAAUCUUCCGCAAUGGGCGAAAGCUUGACGGAGCAAAGCCGCGUGAGUGAUGAAGGUCUUCGGAUCGUAAAACUCUGUUAUUAGGGAAGAACAAAUGUGUAAGUAACUAUGCACGUCUUGACGGUACCUAAUCAGAAAGCCACGGCUAACUACGUG
rnacentral:rRNA from 1 species